rnacentral:piRNA from 2 species
UCUUAGAGAAAAAUGAGCAGCACUUGGUC